UUUCGCAAUGCCCGAAAGGGUGACGAAGCGACGCCGCGUGGGUGAGGAAGGCCUUCGGGUUGUAAAGCCCUGUCAGGAGUUAAGAAAUGUAAGUGCGCUAAUAUCGCAUUUAUUUGACGAAGGCUCCAAAGGAAGUCACGGCUAACUCUGUGCCAGCAGCCGCGGUAAUACAGAGGUGGCAAGCGUUGUUCGGAAUUAUUGGGCGUAAAGAGCACGUAGGUGGGUUUGUAAGUCAGAUGUGAAAGCCUUCUGUUCAACGGAAGAAUUGCAUCUGAAACUGCAAGUCUUGAGUGUAGGAGGGGAGAAUGGAACUUCUGGUGGAGCGGUGAAAUGCGUAGAUAUCAGAAGGAACGCCGGCGGCGAAAGCGAUUCUCUGGCCUAUUACUGACACUCAGUGUGCGAAAGCUAGGGGAGCAAACGGGAUUAGAUACCCCGGUAGUCCUAGCCGUAAACGAUGGGCACUAAGUAGAGGGGUUUUA
rnacentral:rRNA from 1 species